rnacentral:rRNA from 1 species
UAAAAGAGUUUUGUAUUUUGCUCAGGACGAACGCUGGCGGCGUGCUAAUACAUGCAAGUCGAGCGGACAGAUGGGAGCUUGCUCAUGAUGUCAGCGGCGGACGGGUGAGUAACACGUGGGUAACCUGCCUGUAAGACUGGGAUAACUCCGGGAAACCGGGGCUAAUACCGGAUGCUUGAUUGAACCGCAUGGUUCAAUUAUAAAAGGUGGCUUUUAGCUACCACUUACAGAUGGACCCGCGGCGCAUUAGCUAGUUGGUGAGGUAACGGCUCACCAAGGCAACGAUGCGUAGCCGACCUGAGAGGGUGAUCGGCCACACUGGGACUGAGACACGGCCCAGACUCCUACGGGAGGCAGCAGUAGGGAAUCUUCCGCAAUGGACGAAAGUCUGACGGAGCAACGCCGCGUGAGUGAUGAAGGUUUUCGGAUCGUAAAACUCUGUUGUUAGGGAAGAACAAGUACCGUUCGAAUAGGGCGGUACCUUGACGGUACCUAACCAGAAAGCCACGGCUAACUACGUGCCAGCAGCCGCGGUAAUACGUAGGUGGCAAGCGUUGUCCGGAAUUAUUGGGCGUAAAGCGCGCGCAGGCGGUUUCUUAAGUCUGAUGUGAAAGCCCCCGGCUCAACCGGGGAGGGUCAUUGGAAACUGGGGAACUUGAGUGCAGAAGAGGAGAGUGGAAUUCCACGUGUAGCGGUGAAAUGCGUAGAGAUGUGGAGGAACACCAGUGGCGAAGGCGACUCUCUGGUCUGUAACUGACGCUGAGGCGCGAAAAGCCUGAAC